GGCUUAAUACAUGCAAGUCGUGGGGCAGCAGGUCUGUAGCAAUACAGAUGCUGGCGACCGGCAAACGGGUGCGGAACACGUACACAACCUUCCUUUAAGUGGGGAAUAGCCCAGAGAAAUUUGGAUUAAUACCCCGUAACAUUGUGAAGUGGCAUCACUUUAUAAUUAUAGCUCCGGCGCUUAAUGAUGGGUGUGCGUCUGAUUAGGUAGUUGGCGGAGUAAUAGCCACCAAGCCUACGAUCAGUAACUGGUGUGAGAGCACGACCAGUCGCACGGGCACUGAGACACGGGCCCGACUCCUACGGGAGGCAGCAGUAAGGAAUAUUGGGCAAUGGACGCAAGUCUGUCCCAGCCAUGCCGCGUGGAGGAUGAAGGUCCUCUGGACGCUUCUUC
rnacentral:rRNA from 1 species